UACGUAGGGGGCGAGCGUUGUCCGGAUUUAUUGGGCGUAAAGAGCUCGUAGGCGGUUCGGUAAGUCGGAUGUGAAAUCUCCACGCUCAACGUGGAGGGGCCAUUCGAUACUGCCGUGACUCGAGUCCGGUAGGGGAGGUGUGGAAUUCCCGGUGUAGCGGUGAAAUGCGCAGAGAUCGGGAGGAACACCCGUAGCGAAGGCGGCACUCUGGGCCGGUACUGACGCUGAGGAGCGAAAGCGUGGGGAGCGAACGAGG
rnacentral:rRNA from 1 species